rnacentral:rRNA from 1 species
CCAAUAGCGUAUAUUAAAGUUGUUGCAGUUAAAAAGCUCGUAGUUGAAUUUCGAGACCGGUUUACUGGUCGUGCUUUUGUACGUACUGGUAUUAUUGGUUUCUCCUUUCUGACGAACUAUAAUGCCAUUAAUUUGGUGUUAUAGGGAAUCAGGACUGUUACUUUGAAAAAAUUAGAGUGUUUAAAGCAGGCUCACGCUUGAAUACAUUAGCAUGGAAUAAAGGAAUAGGACGUUUGAUUCUAUUUUGUUGGUUUCUAGGAUCGACGUAAUGAUUAAUAGGGAUAGUUGGGGGCAUUAGUAUUCAAUUGUCAGAGGUGAAAUUCUUGGAUUUAUUGAAGACUAACUACUGCGAAAGCAUUUGCCAAGGAUGUUUUCAUUAAUCAAGAACGAAAGUUAGGGGAUCGAAGACGAUCAGAUACCGUCGUAGUCUUAACCAUAAGCUAUGCCGACUAGGGAUCGGAUGAUGUUAAUUUUUUAAUGACUCAUUCGGCGCCUUACG